UACGUAGGGUGCAAGCGUUAAUCGGAAUUACUGGGCGUAAAGCGUGCGCAGGCGGUUGUUCGAGACAGAUGUGAAAGCCCCGGGCUUAACCUGGGAAUUGCAUUUGUGACUGUACAGCUAGAGUGUGUCAGAGGGGGGUAGAAUUCCACGUGUAGCAGUGAAAUGCGUAGAUAUGUGGAGGAAUACCGAUGGCGAAGGCAGGCUGCUGGGAUAAAACUGACGCUGAUGCACGAAAGCGUGGGGAGCAAACAGG
rnacentral:rRNA from 1 species